AAUCAACGCUGGCGGCGUGCCUAACACAUGCAAGUCGCACGAGAAAGUGGAGCAAUCCAUGAGUACAGUGGCGCACGGGUGAGUAACACGUGAAUAAUCUACCUCCGAGUGGGGAAUAACCUAGAGAAAUCUGGGCUAAUACCGCAUAACACUUACGGGUCAAAGCAGCAAUGCGCUUGGAGAGGAGUUCGCGGCCGAUUAGCUAGUUGGCGGGGUAAUGGCCCACCAAGGCGAUGAUCGGUAUCCGGCCUGAGAGGGCGCACGGACACACUGGAACUGAAACACGGUCCAGACUCCUACGGGAGGCAGCAGUGGGGAAUUUUGCGCAAUGGGGGAAACCCUGACGCAGCAACGCCG
rnacentral:rRNA from 1 species